rnacentral:lncRNA from 1 species
UUCCACCACCAGUUGCCCUGAUGUCUGCCUGAAUAGCCCUUGGCUACCCUGAGCACAUCUCGUGCUACCUCCCUAACCAAGUUCGCCGUCUCUGACCACAUAGCGUCCGCUUCCCCAGAAUUUCUCCAAGCUCCGCCCUCAGCUAACCUCCUCUCCAACUCCUGUGCUUUCUCCUUAGUCAAAACACCCCAUCUCAUCCACGAUUGUCCCCGAGUACCC